GACGAACGCUGGCGGCGUGCUUAACACAUGCAAGUCUACGAGAAUAAGGUAGCAAUAUCUUUAGUAAAGUGGCGCACGGGUGAGUAACACGUAAGUAACCUACCUUUAGAUUUGGAAUAACCCCGAGAAAUCGGGGCUAAUACCGAAUGAUGCAGCGGCACCACAUGGUGAUGUUGUUAAAGUCUAUAUGACGUCUAAAGAUGGGCUUGCGUCUGAUUAGCUAGUUGGUGAGGUAACGGCUCACCUAGGCAACGAUCAUUAGGGGUUCUGAGAGGAAGGUCCCCCA
rnacentral:rRNA from 1 species